rnacentral:lncRNA from 1 species
AUGGCAACAGGUUCCCGGGCUCCAUCCCGCUUCUGUUCCCGCUUCUCCCACCCACGAAGACGCCGUGUGAGGGGGUGGCCGGGCCCCCUCCCCUCCCUGCGCUGCGGCAGCGCCCCCCCCCCCCCCCCCCCCCCCCCCCCCCCCCCCCGGGUGGGGACAAAUCAGGGACAGGCGCCAGCACAGCCAAGUGUCUUCAUGGAGACCAAAACCUUGGGACAAGAUCCGUGCGCUGCUGAUGUGUCCCUGCGCCUGCGGAGCACCAUCCUCGCUGGACACGGAUCCAGGAUGGAAAAGAACCUGGCCCCGGCACAGGGGGGUCCCCAUUCCUACCCCACACCCCCUCUCUGGAGGCUGUGGGUGGAGGUGCAAGGGCGUGAGCCCCUCGCCGGCCGCGGCGCCCCGACACGUGUCACAAUAGUAAUGUAAUUUGUCCGUUAACAAUGGGCAGCUUGAGGUUUAUAUUUAAUUACACCGAUCGCACCAACCUGAACUCACCCUUAUUCAUCAAUAAUGCAUGGGUUUGUGUUUAUCGCUGCUUAAUUAAUCUGUGCUUACGACAAUUAAAGGCUAGCAAAAUCCCCCAAGGUGGCAGCGGGGAGCGGCUGCGCCGGGCUGGCACGAGCUCGGUGCCGGUGUGGUGGCAGUGCCAGCGUGGUUGUGGUGCCAGUAUGGUCACCCUGACACCAUGGUCACAGUGCUGGUGUGGUGGCAGUGCCAGCCUGCUCGUGGUGUCAGUGUGGUCACCCUGACAGCGUGGUCACUGUGCUGGCACGCUCACAGUGCUGGUGUGGUGGCAGUGCCAGCCUGCUCGUGGUGCCAGUGUGGUCACUGUGACUGUGUGGUCGCCAUGCUGGCAUGUGGUGGCAUGUGGUCACUGGACCAGUGUGGUCAUAGUCAUGAUGCUGGCAUGGUCAUGGCACCAGUGUGGUCACGGUGCCAGUCUGGUGGCAGUGCUGGCAUGGUCACUGUGC